AUGAAAGUGGAGGGUUCAUCGAAGAAGAUGAUAGCAACACAAGCAGAGAUGGUGGAGAACAAGGUCCACAUCCCGUACAGGGAUCAAUGUGCACAUCUUCUCAUCCCGCUCAACAAGUGCCGCCAAGCCGAGUUUUACUUACCUUGGAAAUGCGAGAUUGAACGCCACUCCUAUGAAAAGUGCGAGUACAAGCUCGUCAUGGAGAGGAUGCUGCAGAUGCAGAAGAUCCUUGAAGAAGAGGCCAAAUUGAAACAGGCUGGGAAACAGGGCGUUUCUGUUCCUCUCAUUCCCAAAACUGCUAAUGCUUAAGCUGGGUCCAGGGUCAGUCAAAUUUUCUUUUCUUUUUGUUUCAAUUUCUUUUAUAUAUAAUUUAAUAACUGGAUAUUUAUCUAUUGACGUUUUUGUUUAUAGUUUGUUGAUGGGUUCAUUGAUCUUUGUAUUAAGGGUUGUUUAAGUUCCAAAAUUUUGGGGUUUUUAGCUAUGUUAAAUUUUUGUUUUUUUCUUUCUUGUUGGCAUGAUGGAUUGGUUUAACUUUUUUAGGGCUUUGUUUUAAUCAAGGUUGGCUGCCAUAUGUUCGAUAGAAUUUUCCUGUCUGCUCUUAUGAUUGAAAUUGAAGCGUUUAACCCUUUCUAUCCCUCUGUUGGAUAUAAGAUUAAAGGAUAUGAGACUCUGUUUCUCCCUUGUCAAUACUAAUGAUGUUUUUACUGGUUUCCUGUUUUCUAUUAAGGGACUAAUUUUAAUUUGGUCUAUUUAUAGUAGGGUGUAGUGAUUUGGGGGUUUAUUUGUUUGGUUCUUGAGGCAUUUGAUUGGAAAGAAAAGGUAAACUGGAAUGUGUCCGUAUCAAUCAGUUUCUUGCUUUGGGGUCUUUUUGUCCAUGGAAUUUUGUUUGAUUUAGAUUCUCAUUUUGAAGAUUUUUGAAAUUGGUAUUAGGUUGUUCUUGUCUAAUGACUCGAAAUAUGGUGGGGGGAUUCUCGUAGUGAGAUUCAGAACAACAUGCAUUCUGGAUAGCCCCCGUAGAUGGCUUUGAGUAAGACUAUUAACAAUCAAGAUUUUUUUGGUCCUUGGUUAUUGGGAUUGCGUAUUAUGCUUUGAGAGUAAUUCGAUAUAUUCUUGAUACUUUUUUUUCAGUUACCUGUAUGUUCCUGUUUAGUAGGUGUAGCCAAUGGAAAUUUUUUUAUUAUGGGCAGUAUAUGGCAAUGUAAAGAAGAAAUAGGAGUUUAACAACAAAGCACUGAAUUCAUACAUGCAGAUGCAUAAAAGUGGAAUAUCCCAGUUAUUUACCAAACAUGAGUUCUGAUUUACCAUUAUUUAGUUUGAUUGUUCUUGCUUGUUCCCCUCAAGUGGUGCUGGUAUCCUAGGAGAUCUGGGCUAGUGAAUAUAAUAUUGUUGCUGUUUUAAAUCCAAGAUAUAGCCUUAUGUUUAGAGCAUGAAAGGAACAUAAUAAAGAGUAAAGAACUUGUAUGCAGCUACCUGUUUGAUGAUGCAUUGUGCUGAUAAUAAUCUCUAUGUUGAUGGAAAUGUUUGGUCAAUGUUUGACAGUACUUUAUAAGUUUAGGGAAUGUAUCUAUUUCUUGACAAUAAUAUUAUAGUAGCAAAAGUCUUGCGUUGAUUAUAAGUAUUGGUCGACAUCAGGUUCAGGGUUCAAACCCUAGAUAGCCCCUUCCCCUUCCACUCUUAACAAUUGGCCAAAAGAAAAACUUAAUUGAAGGAACAAAUAUGAUAUUUGCAAAUUCUGAAAGCACAAGAAUGUCAUACUCACAACAAUGCCUAGAUUAGAAGCUGAAAUUAGGCACUAGUUAUACUUGUUUCGGUUUUUCACUUGCCUUAGUAUAGUACUCUUAAGUCCUAAGUACAAACUUUACUAAUGUUACUGCAAAAGUCUAUUUCAGCAGCUUUUAGGUACAUUUCCGGUCAUUUAACUAAGUAAAACAGUAAGUCUAGCGUGCAAUAUGUUUCCAUGGGCAACAAAAUGAAUGAUCCAAAUUUAAGAAUUAUUGACUUUCCAGAAGAUUCUUUACAUAUAGAAGAAUAAAAAAAGAUGGGUGCAAUGCAAUUUUGUUAUGUUCAGUCUCGAAAUAAUUUAGUUGCUAAUAAUACAUUCCAACAGAUAUUGUUUUUCAAUUUUCAGAUUAAUAUUUUAUUUGGCUUUAGUUUUUGUAAUAUUGCUCUUAAAGAUUUAAUGAUUUUCUUUUUCAUUUGCCAUGAGUUCUGCUUAUAAUACCCUGUUUAAAAACAUGGCAGGAAGGUUUAGACAGCUUUGGUGGAUAUUUGAUGUUUGUCACCUGUCUGGGAGAAAUUUGAAACUGUUUGUUGUGGACGAAUGUAAGGACUCUAUUUCAUUUGUGAUCUGUCAUCAGCUCAUCAACUUUGUUUAUGGAAUAAAGUUGCUCAUCAAAGUGGACAUGUUCUUUUUCAGAUAUAUUUGUAACAAUGGUUUUCACUUACCCAACUAGGUAAAUAUGCUUCAGGUUGGUGUUUAUUUACUUGCAAGAGAUAUACAAUGGAUAUGCUAUUUGAUCAAUGGGGGCAAACAGAUCAUGGCUUUAGCUAACAAGUUUAUAGUUCAAUCACUUCACCAUGUAAUACAUCAAAAAUAAAAAGAAGAAUACACCAUUUCACCGAGUCGAUGGGGGCAUUGAUACAUGUAUAAUGUCUAGAAACCCAAUAAUUCAAUGAUUUUUUAUUUAGAGGAAGUGACCACAACUGAUCAUUCAAAUUUAUUAGACGUUGGGGAAUUCUAUGUGCUUGACAAAGUUAAAGAGCUCGUUUCUAUAAGAAUUUUCAAGCUAAGUCAAGGCCUAUUUCUGUAAGAAUUUACGGGUUCGACCCUAACUCGAUUACUUUUACUCUUUAAAAAAAAAAAAGGCAUAUAGCUUUUUUUGAAGUUUUUUUUAGUGUCAUAUAUUUUUAGUUCAGUCCCAGCUAAUCAUAUACUAUCAGAUGUCAAACUGAUGUCAUUAUUCGAAAAACUAUAAAUAAUUUUUAAAAAUGGAAAAAAAAUUAAAAAGUUAGAAAAAAAUUAGUAAAAUUAUUAAAAGUUAAAAAUUUAAAAAAUUAAAAAAUAUAUAUAAUAUAAAAAUUUACUAAAAAUUUUAAAAUAUAUAUAUUAGAAAUUUUAAAAUCUUUAAAAUUUUCUAAAUCACAUUACUAGAUCCUGAAUAUGAGAUUGUUAGCUUUUAGAAGUUAGAAAGAUACCAUCUACAAUAACUUUUAUUUAAAUCAGUCGAAAUUUAUAAUUGGUAGAUUUUUUAAUUUAUAAAUUUAGAUAAUUUUUUUUCAAUUUAUUUAAAUAAUAAAAAAUAAUUUUAUUUCAAUUAAAUAAGAAUUAAAACAAUUUUAAUUAUUCUAGAUAGUUUUUACUAUCUCAAGACAAAUAAUUUGUUUGUAGAUCAAAUAUCUUAAGUACUAUGGUCGAGUCAAGCGCAUAGCUAGAAAAAAAUUUUCGAGGAUGCCGAAAUUAAAUUGUAAUUUUUACAAUAGUAAAAAUGCAAUUUUUGAAGGGAUAAAUCAAAAUUUUAUCAUUUUUAGGGGGUUAAUUGUAAUUUUUUUACUAAUUUAGAAUUUUAGAACUUUUAAAGGGUCUAAAUAAAAAACUUUUUAUUUUAAGGGGCCAGGACCCCUACCAACCCCACUGGAUUGGCCCCUGGGUCGAGUGUUUAACCAUUCUAAAACACUUUGAUACAAAAUAAAAGGAACAUGUACACGAUGAUGGAUGAUGGAUGGAAGAAACUUACUUAGACAUUAAAUAGGUAGUCAAGUCAAACAAACAUACUGCUAGUAACAUUGGUAUAGUACUAAAAAUUUAUAUAUUUUAAGAUAUUAAAAUUUCGAUAUAAAAAUUUAUUCAAAUUUUAUUAAAAUAUUUGUAAAACAACUUUUUUUAUUAUAAAAAUUGAUUCUAUUACGACAAACAAUUUUUAUACGAAAUAGUUAAUAUUUUCAAUGUGAUUAGAGAAUGUAUACUUUAUUCCAAGUUGCAACAAUUUUUACUAUUUUUUAAAAAAAAAUUACAAUCUUUUACAAUUUCUAAUAAUUUUUAUAAUUUCUUACAAUAUUUUUACAUUUUUUAUUUUUUAUAAUUUUUAAAAUUUUUAAAAAUUCUAACAUAUUUUUAAUUUUUAAUUUUUAAAUUUUUUUUGUAAUUUUUAUAUUUUUAAAGUUUUUUAGGUUUCUUUUUUUUUUCAAAUGAUGAUUCAUUGUGAGUCAACUUAUGUCACAUGGCAAUUUAUGGUUGGCUGGAUAUCCCAACCAUUUUUUAACUUCUAAAGGACUAAACUGGGAACAUCAGAUUACAUAGGGACUGAAGUGGUGAAAGAAAAACUUUAAGGAUCAAAGUGGAAAAAAUGGUAUAUGUUACGGACUAAAGUGUACAUUAAGCCUUUAAAAAUGAAAUUAAAAAUAAUUUUAUUUUUAUAUUUAUAUCUUUUUAUAAUUAAAUUUAAAUAAAAAUAAAUUUAAAAUUACUUAAUUUUAAUUCGAACAAACUAGGUUAGCUUGAAGUUAAAAAUUUUUUGUCCAACCCAACCCAAAUAGGUUGAAUCAACCAAGUCAGAUGGGUCACUUAGGCCAUGAGUAGGUCUAAUUAGAUGUUCUUUGAUGUCAUAAGAAUUAAGUUGGAGGUAGAAUUGAUUAUACUUCUAAUUUUUAAAUUAAUUGAUUCAACCACUUAAUUUUUUUAAAAAUAUUAAUAAUAAUUAAAAAUACUUUUUUAAAAAAAAUCAAAGAUAAAAAUGAAUCAAACAUGAUAAGAAAAAUUCAAAUUUUUUGUUAAAGAAAUAAAAAUUUUAAAAUCUGAUUUCCUAAAUUUUUAACUGAUUGUUUUGAUCUUUAAAUUAUCGGUAUAAAGUUAUUCUAACUUAUUUUAAUUAUAUAUUAUCAGAUAAAUCUCUAAUUUUUAAUUCAAUUAGUAGAUUCGAGUCAUUCUUUACUAUUAAUGAAUCUUUGAACUGAGUAUCUAUCUAAACAAUUAUUGGGUUGAUUUUUCAAAUUUUGUCUUAAGGACCUCAUCAAUUUUAUUAGUUUCAAUAUUGUUGUUCACCAUAUUAUGCUGACUACCAUGGGGCAUAUGUCCUUUAAGAUAUAUUGUCGGAUACUCAAGUCAUUUACUCAUUAAUCACUAGGUAAUAGCUUAUACACUAGAGGCUCUUGAAGGAAUUUAGUUUCAAGCUUUUGCUUCCUACUAUCAUAAGUUAAACUUGAAAAUAUUAAAUGUGAUAUGAUUAAGAUACAGAUAAUAUAAAAAAAAAUUAAUAUUUAUAUUACACAUAUUAUUAAUUAACUUAAACUUAUAUAAACAUAAAAUAGUUCAAACAUAUAUUUUUUUGCCAACAAAUAUUUCAAACAUGAUUGUAUUAUGAAACUAACAUAGUGUGACGAGUCUAAUGUAGGCAGAGGCACUAUAAGAUUUAGAUUUUUAAAUAAAGUGUGCAGUUAGAUUUUUGUUGUUGUUAUUGUAAGACAAUUAGAAAAAUCAAAUAUAUCAAAUAAGUUAGUAACUAUUAACCAUGCAUCCAAAAAGACCAACAAUGCUCCGAAGGUUGCAUGGAAAGUAUAAGCUUGGUUCCUUCCCUCUUGUUAACUUGGGUAUGAAAUUGACAACUCUAUUUGGUUCUCGGAAUGUAUGUUAGAAAACCACAGUCCAAUCUAUUCCACACAGCUCAUCUAUUUGCUUUAUAAUGCCCACACAGCUUCCCUCCAUGUCCUCAUUCAACCACUACACUAUACUGACACUAUCACUUUUGACAAUGAAAUGCUUAAACCUAAUAAGCCAAGAAAAAUGGAAGCCAUCAAUAAUUACCCAUGGUUCCACCAUUUCCACGGAGCAUGACCCCAAACUUCUACUAUUAUACGAAAAAACCCACAUCCCUUUAUCAUCCCUUAUAAAUUUUCCUACUAAAGCUUGCCUAUUGGCCAACUUUCAAUACUCGUCUAUGCUGAUUUUAGUGUUGGAUCUAGUGUCCUUAGUGUAGUAUUUUCGUCUAUAUGCACUUGUAUUUUUCAAACAAAUUGGUUUAAUAAAAUAUCCAUCAGUUACAUUAAUAUUCUUUGUAUAUUGUCCUAAAUAGUUUGUUCAUGCAAAGUAAAAUAAAAGCAAAUAUUGACUCAAUGAUCAUCUAACAUUUAACUAAUACUAAAUGGUAUUACGUGGUCGGAUCAUCAUACGAAAAGACAACUUAUAUAAUAGAUAAUCUAAACAUGUCCUUAGUCUAACUAAAAAUGAGCACCUCUAUCAAGUUUAAUUGGAGAAAUAUCUUGUCUUAGGUAUCAGAGUGAAUGACUCCUAAAAGAUAGAGACAUAGAUGUAACUGUGGUCUAAUUGUACAUCGAAUAGGACCCAAGUAGAAUAGAUCCUAAAUUUGUUUAUGAUUUUAUUCACUUGUGACAUUCAUAGUGUGACAUGCAUUAAUCUUGAGAGGAUGAUGAAAUAUUAUACAUGACUCGUAUACUUUGAUAUACAUGAAAGCCAGAGUUCAAAUAGAAAAGGAAUCGAAAGUUGGUACAUUGGGUAUACAACUUCUGCAGUUCAUAACAUCAUUCAAACUAGUGGAAUUCAUAACUCGACUAAAGGGUAAAUGAUAUCCUCUUAUUGGCAUUACAUGAUAGAUGAAAACUGAAACAUAGCCAUGAGUCAUUUUUCUUUGUGAUAAAUGAUUUAAUUAUUAUUUGAUAGUAAUUGACUUUUCAUAAAGAAAAAUGUAAUGGUUAACAUGUGAUAAAAUAGGAUCAUAUUGGGAGAAUAAAUUAAUCCCAAAGAGAUUAAAUAUAUCCUAUAAGGGUAAAAUACUUAUGACAAUGUCAUUGGACAAACACUUAUUGAGUAGCUUUCAUAAUGGUAUAUAAUAAAUGAGAGCUCAGUCACGAUACUUUAGUAGAAUGACUUCGUGAUGCAUGCACAAAAGGGGUGAAAUUUGUUAAAUUCCAUUCACUGAAGCUGCCAAUUUUCAAGUUUGGAAAAUCAAUCAACUUGCGAUGACUUUUUGGAUGGGAUCCAAUCAUUUUUGGGCUGUAAUGUCUCAUAAAAUUCGAAGAUAUAUCUCUUAGCUUCAAAACUCACUUUGAAUCACUUGAUUUUGAGUUCACGAGCUCAAGUUAUGACCAUUUUAGUGAGAUUGCAUAAAUAGAAUUUUUUAUUAUUACGGAAAUUACAAGUUUCAGGCUUUUAAUUCAGGUUUAUAUCAUAUUUGUUUUAUUUUUGGCUUAAUUUUUAUUAUAUAUGAGCCUAAUAUUGUAUUUAUUAGGUCUUAUUAUUUCAUUAUUUAUUUAUUAUGAAUUUUGGAUAUAUUGUUUUAAGUAUUUAUUAGGUCUUAUUAUUUCAUUAUUUAUUUAUUAUGAAUUUUGGAUAUAUUGUUUUAAGUAUUUUAAGUUAUUUAGGGGUUUUCUGUUUAUUAGUCAAUAAGAAAGUUUAGUUUAAAACUACUUAUUUAGAUUAAUUAGAGUUUCAGUAUAUUUGAGAGUUUUAUUUGGAUGUACUUAGUUAACCUAUAUAAAGGCUUUUUCAUUGUGCACAAUUCAUAAUUCAUUCAGCAACUUCUAUCUUUAAGUUAAUAAAAUUCUCUUUUAAGUUUUUCUCUUCAAGAAUUUCUCUUGAGUUUUCUUUUAAAAGAGUUUUAACAAUCUUUUCAGAUUGUGAGGAUCAACUUCAAGCUUCUUAUUGCCAAGUUUUCUUUCUUGGAGGAGAAAUUAGAGUCAUUUGGAGGGGGUUAUGGAUUCAUCUAGUUUCCAAGGCUCUUUUCCAGCAUGUAGAAGUCCUAAGGAGCCUUGGAAACUAGAUGAAUCCAUAACCCCUUCAAAUGACUCUAAUUUUUCCUCCAAUAAAGAAAACUUGGCAAGAAAAAGCUUGAAGAUGAUCCCCACAAUCUAGAAAGAUUGUUAAAACUCUUCUAAAAGAAAACUCAAAAAGAAUUUUAUUAACUCAAAAAGAGAAGUUGUUGAAUGAAUUAUGAAUUAUGUACAAUGAAUGAGCCUUCAUAUAGGCUAGCUAAGUACAUCCAAAUAAAACUCUCAAGUAUACUGGAACUCUAAUUAAUCUAAAUAAAAAGUAGUUUUAAACUAAACUCUCUUGUUGGUUAAGAAACAUGAAACUCCUAAAUAACUUUAAAUUCUUAAAAAUAUAUCCAAAAUUUGGAAUAAAUAAUGAAAUAAUACGACCUAAUAAAUACAAUAUUAGGCUCAUAUAUAAUAAAAAUUAAGCCUAAAAAUUGGACCCAAUAUGAUUUAAACUCAAAUUAAAAGCUCGAAACUCGUACUUUACAUAAUAAUCUAAUUUAGAAAUUAUGUUCGCAUAGUAUUUACUAAAACGGUCAUAACUUGAUCUCCCAAACUCGAAAUUGAGUGAUUCAAUGUGAUUUUCAAAGCCAAGAGAUAGAUCUUUGAAUGUUAUGAAUACAUCUCAGUCAAGAAAUGCUUGGAUCCAAUCCAAAAGUCAUCACAAGUCGAUUGAUUUUCCAAACUUGAAAAUUGACAACUUUAUUGAACGGAAUCUAAUAAAUUUCACCCAUCGGUGUAUGUAUCACUUAUGACUAAAUAAUUUUAUAAUUAAUAGGUGAAAAGUCAGACCUUAAUUAUAAAUUAUUUGAGCCCUAAUUAUUAAUUGGUCUCUCCACUAGCUCGAAAUAACCAGAAACAAAUUACAUGUAGAACCAAUGAAUAAAAAUGAUGAAGUAGGAGAAAUAGAUCGCAUGUAUCACUAUCCGCAAUGAAUGCAUUUUCUUGAUAAGGACAAGAAAUGACUUAGAAAUUAACUUAAUGCUUUUUGAAUUAUAAUUAAAUAAUUGGAGUUCGAACAUAAAAUUAGAUUAGUCAAGUCAUUAUGAAAUUAUUGAAUAAGGAAAUUAAAUAUAUUUUCUUUAUAGAUUCUAUUACGUUAAAGUUAUUAUGACUUUAAUGGAAUUAGAAUUGAGCUGAGAAAAUUAUUUAAUUGAGAAAUUAAUUUAGUUAAUGUAAUUAAUUAAAUUAAUUGGUCAAAUAAUAUUUGUUUUGGAUAAUAGAAAAUAAAUAUUGGGUUGGAUAAAUUAUAAGUGUUACAUUAAAAGUCCAGAAAACACAUAUAAUUGGACUUAAUACAUGAUAGGCCCAAAGUGGAGCUUUGUAUGAGAUACAAUGGGUAGCAACCUUGGUAUUUCUAGUUUGUUGCCACCCCUUGCUCCACUUAGAGUAGAAAUGUAUUUUUAUAUUAAAAUAAUAUUAUUUAUUCAAAACUUAUUCAAGCAGAACUCUUAUACAUUUCUUUAUAAAUAGAGACCAUCGGUUGACCUAAAUACACACUUGAUAGAUGUCGUUAUUUUGCCAGAAAGUAGUGGUAAAUUAUUUACAAAGAAUGAAUUCAAUUUUCUGGAAUAUCGAAUAAUUAUCGAUUUAAGAAGAGAAUUUACUUUCCCACAGAAAGUAAAUAAAUUGUUUUCAUUCUGUGACUUGGUUUGUGUUGCUUAAGCCUACACACGAGGCAAUUUGCGGUUCGAGGACAGCGAAGAAGGUUGUUCGAUUGAAAAUAAGGAUAAACUUUAGUCCCCCUCACACAAAGUACAUCUACAUCUACAUCUCAGUUGUGGUUUAUUGUUAUAAAUAACAUAACAGACUCAGUUUAAGAAAAAUUGUAAACUUCCGUUAUAGCUAAAAUAAUUGUUUUCUUAAUCGAAUUUUUCCAACAUUUAAUCGAUCCAAGGUUUGGUUUCAUCCAGUUGUUAUUUUCCUUGUUUCAAUUAGAGGGUCCCUUGUCUCUACUAUUGGUGGCAUUGAAACAAAUAGUCUAGCUUCGAUAAUACAACAAGCUGAGACACUCAUACACUGACUUGUUGGAAAAUAUAGUUGUUCUAUUGCUCCCAUAAUUUCUAGCAGCAAAUAGCAAAAAAAAUUUCCCAAUCAAACUCAUCAAAAACAAAAGAGAUAAAGAAUUUUGAAGGUUUGAGCAAAUCCAAUCAUUCAGAGACAAUGAAAAGAACCUAUCAUGUUUAGAAUUAGGGAUUACUUCAGUCCGGACAGAUCUCGUUAUAAUACAGUCCUUAAGAACAUGGAUCAUAUCCUCAAUUGGUGCACUAUACAUCGAGCAACUAUCUGACUUAACUAGUCCCCUCCAACAUCUUUCGACAUUAGUUAUAAUUCUAUUAUGAAAAGCUAGCGAUAGGAAUUGCUUUGCUCUUUGCAAAAUAGGUUAUUUCCAAAGUAACUCCCAUUUGCUAGACUUUGGCUUCUAUAAAUGCUUAGCUUUGAAUCUAUAAGCUUAUAUAGUGGUCAACUUACCAAUAAUAGAUCUUGACCAAAUACAUUGGUCCUCUUUAUCAUGCUCAUUCAGCUAUUGUAUACUUGCAAUUUAAAUUAGGAUGAAAUCAUCCAACAUGCUUUUAAUUCUUAACCAAUCCCAAUUACGAUGAUUAUUGACAUUUUUCGAACCAAUAUUGAUUGCAUCGUAUUAGAGCAUAGAAGGCAAUAAAACUUUAAUGGCCCAAAAUUAUGAACCCAAGAAUCCAUCUAGAAACUAACUUUUGACCCAUUCCUAAUAGACCAAAUCAAUGUCUUGCUAAACAUAUCAUGUAUUCUCAUAAUCAAAUGCCAAACAUACAUGGGAAGAAUUGCUUCUAUUUAUAUUGAGAAGGCAUCCAAUACUAAACUUAUAAUUUGAUUUAAGCACUCUAACCCACAAAGUUGUGUUAUUAUUUACAAGCUUGAAUCCAAACUUUAGCAAGAGUGAAUCAUUCUAAUAUUUUAAUUUCCUUAGUCCUAAACCCAUAUUUGUAGUAGAUCGACAUAAUGUAUUCCAUGCCACAAGAAGCUUUUAGAUUAUCUUCUAAUGACCCUCAAAUAAAUCUUCGAAUAACCUUUUCAAUCUCUUCACGUUUGCCCUUGAUAACCUUGGUUGUUUGCAAAAAAUAGUUAGGAAUCAAGAGUAACACUAAUUUAGCUAGAGUAACUUUACCCACUAAAGAUAGGAGAUGAGCAUUCCGACCAUUGAGCUUUUGACAAACUUUAUCCAGCACAAAGGAAAAAAAAACCUCUUCGUAAAUCUUUGAUGGAAAAGUGGCACUCUCAAAUACUUGCCAAGAUCUUUCACCUACCGAAAACUCAAUCUAGCACUUAAAGAAAUGACAACUUCUUCAAAAUUAUUAUAGAGAAAAAACUUUCAUUUUAGUAGCACUCACUUUAUGACCUGAUUUGAUGUAGAAUUGGUCUAAAAUUCUAUGGAUGAGUGAAGUAUGACCCAAAUCCUCUAUACCCAAAAGCACUAAGUUGUUAGCAAAAUAUAAAUGGGACAAUGGAGGCCCAUUCAUCACAAGUCUAAUUGGUUUCCAUGACACACCCUCCUAAUCGAACUAAUGCAAAAGCCCAAUUUCUCCAUACCAAGGACAAAAAAGUAUGGUGAGAUAAAAUCACCCCGGUGUAAUCCUCUAGAAUGUAUGAAGGUCGUCACUGAUGACCAAUUCCAAAGAACUUACAUAGACAAAGGUGAAAUACAAUAUAUGAUAGGACAAUGCAGUUUAACAAGAAUACCAAUGCCAAACAAACACUCAUCCAAGAAAUCCCAUUGCAUGCGGUCAUGUCUUCUUCAAAUCAACCUUAAUAGCCAUCCAAGCAACAUUGCCUUUCUUGACUCACAUUGAGUGAACAACUUCUUCUGCUAUCACUGUUAUUAUCAGAGAUAUGCUUCCCUAAAAUAAAGCUAACUUGAUUCGGAGCUAUAAGAUUAGGAAGGAAUUUGCGAAGUCUAAUUAGCAAUCACUUUUUUCAAGAUUUUGUACAGCACAUUACAUAAACUAAUGGAACAAAAUUUGAAAAUCUAUAAUAUGCGGAAAAGGAAAUAACUUACUCAUUACUCAUAAAUAGCAACUUGUUCAUCUAAGUAUGCAAACUUUAAAUUUGAUAUCAUUUAAUCCAAAAUAUAGUACAUAAGCCUCAGAUGGAAUUCACUUUCAAUUGGUGUUAACAAUAAUUUUAUUUGUGAUUUUUUUAUGUAUUUUUUUCCAUGAAAGGAAACAAACUUGAAAUUCUAACCAUUUAUGUGUAGAGGUUUUAUUGUUCACUUUGGAAAAAUAGGAAAAGGUUUUACCAAAUGGUUACAAGUUAAUACCAAAAUUUGUAAUACAAUACCAAUAUCUCUAAUGGAAAUCGUUAGAUAUUUUACUAUACCAAAAUUUUCUUUUUCCUACUUGUGUGUGGGGACCAAUAACAUGUACCAAAACUUUCUAACACUAUACCAAUAUUCUAAUGCAUACCAAAUUUCCAAGGGAUAUCAUUAGAUAUUUUGAUAUACCAAAUUUUAAAAUGUAUACCAAAAUCUUUAACAGAUACCAAAAUUUCUAAUGAUACCACCAAAAUUUGUAACGGAUACUAAUAUUUCUAAUGGAAAUCAUUAGAUAUUUUGGUAUGCCAAAAUUUUCCUUUUCCUGCCAAUGUGUGGGGACCAAUAACUUGUACCAAAAUUUCUAACGUUAUACCAAUAUGCUGGAUUACCGGUACACCCUUUGGUGUUGAAGAAGAAUUAUUCUAGAAAUCACAACCAAGGAUCCAUGUAUGAGGAAUUAACACGGGUUUAAGGAAGGUUGAAAAUAUACCUUUAAUAAUUUGGAAACAAGCAUAGUACAAAGAGGGCCCUUCUACUUUCCUCAUAAGCCAUAAUCGCAAUGUAAAGUCCUGGCCUCUAUGUGAUUCACCCGGAAGAGAAUGAUAAGAAAGUUCUUUGAACUAUUUAGAGGAAAAACAAUUUUUUUCUUUUUUCUAGUAAAGAUAGAUUUCGAGUGAAAACAAAAACUAGGAUUAAGCCUUUUUUAAAAACAAGUUUUAAUUACCUUGAAACUCUUAGAAGGAAAUAAGGAUAUACCUUUUAACCCCUCAACCAAUUUUUUUUAUUAAAUACAAUGUUUAAUAAAUUCAAUUAAGCAGGCUUAUAAAAUUAAAUUAUAUGAAACACAUUUUUCAUACUAUUUUAAUUGAGUCCUAUAUAUACAUAUGCAUCAAGUAUGUACAUAUAUUAUGUUUUAUUUUAACAUUUUCAAAUUAAAUUAUUUAUUAGAACAUUUCUAUAAUCAAUUUAACUUUUGUGACAUUUUAAACAUAGUCUCAACUUUCAUUACAUUCUGAUUGUCCCAACCAAAGGGUGUGACCUAUAGGAUUCUAUAACGUUGGCAAUAACAUUGAAAAUAUUAUAAUUUUACAAUUAGUGAGUGACAUCUAGCAAUGCAUCACUGCUACCCAAGUCGCAAGAAGUCAAGGUUCAACAUGGUUUUCUAUGACAAUAUUAUUAUGUGUAACAUCCCUUUGUCCUUUAUAUCUAGAUUGAACACAAGUCAUGGAAUAGUCAAACUUGUAUGGUCUAAUCUCUUAUUUCUUGAUUUCCUUGUAGACUAAGAUAAACAAAUAAGUAUGAUAUCUUAUAUAAACUAAUUUGAGCAUGGUCAUGCAUUUUUUGUGUCAUUCGAUCAAGAGACCUAAGAUAUUUCUCUCAUUAUAUAGGAGGGACAAAUCCUAUCUUGAUCAAUCACAUCUCACUACAUAGAUUAUGGCACACCCAACAUUAGUCCUUAAAGUACAAUCAUUUACAGAAGAGGUUUGAUUGUUUCAAAGCAUAUGACUUAAGAUGUUGGAAUAAUAAUGGUCUCAAGUCUGAGAAUCAUACAUAUAAUUAUCACUGUGAGAAAUAUUAUAACAUUAGAUAAUAAUCCAAGAACUCGUGGCAGGUCAGUCCAAUACGCUGUUCUCUAACAUGUACUUAUGCAUUGACUUUGACAUGUUGGAAAAUGUGUUCGCAUUGUAGUAAACAUGUAGUUGUUUUCUAUGUAUUUGAACGAUGAAUAAAUAAAUAAAUUUCACUAUCUUUUGUGUUUGUCUUUCAUGUUUUGCAUACAUAGUGAAAUUGUAACAAGCAAAUGUUAGCUCAUUGAUUUGUCUAAGUUCAAGAUGAUAAUACUUGACACUGUAAGAAUAUUUACAUUACGAGAAAGACAACUUACUUUAAUAGAUAAUCUAAACCAGUUCGUAAUCCCGUAAAAAAAUCAAAGUGAACAUUUGAUUCAAAACUUAGAAAGAUUAUUAUGUCAUCUACAAUUCCAAUUAGGGAGAUGACUAGUCUUGGCUAUCAAAGCAGUUGACUCCAUGGGUAGAGAUAUUAAUGUACUCAUUUGAAGAAUGAUACAUUGGACUAGACCCAAGUUGAAUUAGUACUGAAUCCGUUUGUGAACUAAUUCACUUGUGAUAUUCAUAGUGUGACUUACCUAAAUCCUGAGUUAGUCAUUAACCAUUCGUAUAUAGCCCAUGUGAAUUGAUAUAAGUGGAGACUUAUGCUUUAAAGAUGAUCGAGUCGAUAGCCGUUAUGUUGGGUACAUGACUUAUGUAUGGCAUAGUUUUACUAGAAAUAAUGGAAUUCAUAGCUCGAUUAAAGAGUUAACGAUAUCCUUUCAUUGACAUUAUGUGGAUGGAUAAAUAUGGAAUGUGGUCACGGGUUUCCUGUUCUCGAACGAGCAAUUUAUCACAGUCAUUAGUUGACUGUGAUCAUAUUAAUCAUUAAGAAGACACAAUAGUGAUAAUGAGAUAAAACAAAAUUGCAUUAAGUGAACAGAUUUAACUCAAGAAAUCAAGAACAUCAUAUGAGCAUAACACACACAUUGCGAGGUCAAUGGACAAAGCAAUUGGAUGAAUUGCUUUCAUAAAGAGUAUACAAUAAGGAGUUUUCAAUCAUGAUACUUCUUGUGAACUGACUCUAUAGUUAAGUAAAUUUCGAAUGAUCAGAAAGAUACUUCUGGACAUAAUUACAAUUAACUUGAGCCUAAUUGUAUAUGUCAAAUUGGUCCAUUUUCUAGAGUAACAAAAGCUCGAUCGGACUGCAUUUGAAUAAAAAAAUUAUACGACUUCGAGAAUAAUUUAAUUAAGUCGAUUUAUUCGAUGUGGAAUUAAAUUAGGUGUUUAUGAGAAUUGUUUAACUAAAGAAUUUGAUUAAAGAAUUUUCUUGAAAAAUUAAUUUGGAAAAUCUUAGUGAUUUUUAGGAAAAUUAAUUUUGACCAAGUAAAACUAAAUUAAUCAAGUUAAUUAAAAUAAAUAUGAUAUUUUUUGAAAUUAACUUUCAAGUCAAACAAUUAGCCCAAUGGGUAAUCAACUUAAAAAUUGGACCUGAGAUCAAAAAUUGAACCGGAGAAUCAAAACUCGAGACUGAAACCCAAAAAUUGGUCAAAUCGGGCUCUGUGUAUGAAAUUGGAUGACGAUCCAACUGGUGGCUGGACCGGACUGGCCGGGCUAUUAUUGGCCCGAAUCGAAUCGACAGCAGCCAAAUUUGUCAAGCCCAUUUGGGAAAAAUAGCAAUAGUUCGGGGUGCUGGGGGAGUCGUGCCAAUGAUGGCACCGCCAAGCACGAUGACUACGACAAUGACAAUCCGACAACCGACGGAUGGUUGGCGGUGGCAGUUCUUCGGUGGUAGAGUGGUGGAAAAAUUAGACUCAUAAUGGGACUCUAUCGGGUAACUUGAUUUCAAAUUAACUUUUUCAAAGAUAAUAUUAUUUUAAUGAAUUUAAUAUUUAUCUAGAUAUUAAUAUGGGAUAUUAAAUUUAAUUUAACAUUUUCCUAUAUAAUAUUUUAUUAAUUUAAUAUUAAUGUGAUUAAUUCUAAUCCUAGUUAAGUUCUCUCUAAACUCCCCCUAUAUAAAGAGAGCAUGGGCCAUUAUUCUCAUACACUUGAAUUCAAGAAAAGUUGCAGAGAGAAAAUUUUUUGAAGAAAUGAUUUCAGAAAAUUUCUAGAGAUAUUCUUUUUAUUUACAACUUGACCCCAUAAGUUUAGAAAAAUUAAGAAAUUACUCCACUGGUAAUUUUGUGAAAUUUUUUUGAUUUAAAACGAGCUAACACUUGACAGACAUGUGCUUGAGGAUAACGGGGAAGACUUCUAGGUCGAAAUGUUCAUCCUAGAUGAAUCAUAAAGGUACGAUUUUGAUUAAGCGUUUAUUAUUUUAGAUAAUACAAUUAAGCUCUUAUUCAGGGAAAAAGAAUUUAAAACUCUAGUUUUCCCUUAAACAUAUUUUCCAUUGGAUUUUUCAAACCCAAUCUUCGAACAUGACAUCCCUAUGUCAAUGACAACAUUUUGUCAUCAAUCAACUACAUAUCAGUCUCAAUACAUUAUUAUUGCUCAAGCUCGCAAUAAUACUUGACUAAGGACAUUUAAGAAUAAUCACAUUAUUCUUAGGAUUGGAAUAACAAUGGCAAUGUCUUUUAUUAAUAAACUAGGUGAACAAGUAUGUGAUUACAAUCAUCGAAUAAUUAGUCUUCGGGCAUACUCCAACACAGUAUUGUUGGAAAAAUUGUUUAUGAGAACGAUUUUGUUGCAUAGCGAAAUUUCAAAAACUUUUAUAAAACUUGAACCUUUGUUGUGAUAUCUAUGGCUAUAUAUUUUACCAAACAUAAUAACUACGUUAUUAGACUAGCGAAAUUUGUUGGUUCUUGGCUUUAAAGUAAAUGAUCUUCUCAGCUAUCCUUAAACUCUUAGUUACUAAGGAGUGGACUAUUAUCACAAACCGAUCAUAGAAGGAAAACUAAAAUUUUCUAGUGAGAAAGUUCACUUUUUCUAUGGGAAAUCAAACCGAAAUUAAUGACUCGAGUACUCAUGAAAAAUAGAAUUUAUUUUGUAGCUAAAUAAAUUUUCCUAAAUUUUGACAAAUUACCUCAUCUCAUAAGUGUGUGUCUUCAGUUAAUCCAUAGUCACUUUAUAUAGAGAAAAUUAUGAGUACUACUUGAACAAGAAGAGGAGAAGUAAUAUUUUAAUAGAAACCCAAAAUCCUACUAGGAGUUAAUGCACCGGACAACACAUACUAGGUUUCCCAAACCUAGUGUGCCUCCCACCCUUAGUGUUAUUGGGCUCAUUUAAUCAUUUAUGUAUUUUGUAUAAUUAUAUGUGUAGGUCUAUUUUAAUUAAAACAAGCUCAUAUAAUUAUCCAACCCAAUAACUAGUUUUAUAUUCUCAAAAUAUUAUUUAUUCAACUAAUUAAUUCAAUAAAAUAAUAUAUUGGGAAUAGAAAUUGAUUAUUGGGUUGGAUAACUAUAUGAACUUGUUUUAAUAACAACUAGAUUGUAAAUAUAAUUGUAACCAAUACAAUAAAAUGACCAAAAAGGCCAUCUUACUAAACUGGUGGGCGGCACAUUGGGUAAUCCUAGUAAGGGUGUGUCACUCUUAGUAGGUGUAUGAGUUUUUUUAUUAAAAUAUUAUUUAUCCUUCUUCUUGUUCAAGUAGAGUUCUUGUAUUGUUUUUUCCUUAGGAAUCAUGGGAAGUCAAAAUACAAACACUCAUCGACACGUGGUUAUUUUAUUAAAAUUCAGGGAAAUUUAUUAGCUACAAAUAAAUUUUAAAAAAUUUUGUUAGCACUUGAGUUUUUCGAUUUUGGUUAUUAAGAAGAGAAUUUAUUUGUCCAUUGGAAAAGUUAAAGUUUUCAUAUUGUGAUUGAUUUAGGACUAGAAGCUCUCUCUUUGCAACUAAAGGUAAGAGAAUAAUGGAGAAGAUUGAUUGGUAGAAAGCUAGGAAAUCGACAUAUCACACUAGACCAAAACCAAAAUGUAGAUAUUAAAUUUGGUAAAAUUUAUUGCCAUGAAUAACACAACAAAGGUUUGGUUUUAUGCAAAUUUUUAAAAUUUUCAUUGUGAAAUAAAACUCGUUUUCGUAACUAAUUUUUCCAUCAAUUGGUAUCAUAUUAGGUUGUGUUAUGUUGUAAAUUUAUUAUCGAAUUACCUCGUCUCUCUAUUAUUUGAUUAAAUUGAUAGAAAGUGACAUAUUAUCUUCUGCGUGUUUUUGGAUUGUAUAUGUGAAUGGAUGUUCAUAGAUGUUAUAAAAAAAUUAAUUAUUAAUUUUGCUAAAGAUGUGUUUUCUAAAAUUAGAUCGGGUAUAUAUUUUAGGUUAAAUUUUUUAUUAUGUAAUUAGAUUGUAAACUAUCAUCUCCACGUAAGUUUUUUUAUUUUUCCUUAAAAUAAAAAAAAAUAUUGUGAGUUGGAAACAGACUAAGGUUUAUGUAACCAAAUACAAACCAGAGACCUCAAAGUAGAUUAGGCAAAAAAAUGGAUGAGCAAUUGAAGAAGGAGAAGUUGGCGUUCUGGUCAACAGUCGGAGCAUCAUAAUUGUUGAGGCGAUGCGAGGGACAUCGCACCCCAUUGUGUGAGCUAGACACACAGCAUCGGCCAAGGCCUCGUGCCUUAGCAGAGCAAUCGUGCGAGGCUACGGCGUGAGAGCAAGGGCAUCCCACCCUAACAACAUGGAAAAGGUCCCAAGGAUGGCUGAGGCAUCGCACCCCAGUCUGGCAUCAAUGCACGUAGAAAGUUGUUCUUAAUAUUUACAAGUUUUAUCAAUUUAAUCUUAAUUAUAAAAAAAUCAAUAAAAUUAAUCUCAAACAUUACAAGUUUACACAAAGAAUCUUAAUUAGCUGACCGUUCGUCAUUUCCUACAUGAAUAACGAACAAUAUCAACCACAUAAAAUGUUGAUUUGAAAUGGCUACUUAAAUAGCCAGUUUUGUUAAUCCCCUUUUAUUAAAGAAGUAUAUAUUGUCUGGAUUUUAGCAUUGGGAGUCCGACACUGCUCUCUCCUUUCUCAAGCAAAACUAAUCUAAAGCAAACAUCAACCUUUACUUUUUUCUCUCUAAAACUAACUUCCUUAAACCACUACUUGUCUUAUUAUUUGAUCAAUAUUUCAUAACCUUCAUUAAAAAUCCAAUCAUACUAACCAAAAUGGAAGCAUCGGAAAAAGGCACGAGGAGCGAGGUAAUUAUGGUGCUCGACUAUGGUCUUGUUACCUGGGUUUGGGUCUUUGGUUCAGUAUGCUAGAGAGGGGGUGAGAAUUAAGGGUAUAUUAUGUUGGAGCCAACGGUCAAUGCAAACGACAUUAAAAAUUGUAAAAUAAACAAAAAAAAAAUGUCUUGGAACAAUGGCGGUCACAAACUCAUAAAUUAUAACAGAAAGCGGGAAAGGGAUAUAAUUCACAUUGUGUAUUAUGCCUUGGUAAUGCAACAAGUGAAUGUAGAAGAACUCGGAGGGGGUGCUCAAUACCCAAACUCUCAAAACAAAUGAAAUUGCAAUCUUUCUAAAUUUAAACACAAAAUCUAGCCUUAAAAUUUAAAUUUAUUAAAUUAAAAUCAAAAUAAAAAAUAUGUAAAUUAUGAUAGUCAAUUUUGUUAUUAUAUCAAUCGAAAUUAUAUACAAUGCGAUUAAUUACCUUUAAGUGCUCAUUCACUUUUAAAAUUAAUAUCCUAAUUUAGUAAAUAUUAAAUUUGAGAGAGACUAAAAAGUCUUUUUAACCAUAAUAUAAUAUAUAUAAUAAAAUUAAAAAAUAAAUUCAACCGAGCGAAACUCAAAUCAUAUUCUAAAUGGAAUUAGUUUUUUAGGCCCAUUUUGGGCCCAACCCUUCCAAAUUACCUUUGGGCGUACAAAGAAAAGCUAAGCUAGCUGAUAAUUACCUUGGAGUUGGACUCGGAGAUCAAGCAAAGCAUUUUCAUAACCCAAUUUUUUUUCUUCAAACACAAAUCAAAGGGAGAAAAAAGAAUGGAAGUGGAGGGUUCAUCGAAGAAGAUGAUAGCUACACAAGCAGAGAUGGUGGAGAACAAGGUCCCCAUCCCGUACAGGGAUCAAUGUGCACAUCUUCUCAUCCCGCUCAACAAGUGCCGCCAAGCCGAGUUUUACUUACCUUGGAAAUGCGAGAUUGAACGCCACUCCUAUGAAAAGUGCGAGUACGAGCUCGUCUUGGAGAGGAUGCUGCAGAUGCAGAAGAUCCGUGAAGAAGAGGCCAAGUUGAAACAGGCUGGGAAACAGGGCGCUUCUGUUCCUCUCAUU
rnacentral:lncRNA from 1 species